rnacentral:rRNA from 1 species
GAUGAACGCUGGCGGUAUGCUUAACACAUGCAAGUCGAACGGACUCUUCGGAGUUAGUGGCGGCCGGGUGAGUAACGCGUGGGAAUCUGGCUUUGGGUUCGGGACAACUACUGGAAACGGUGGCUAAUACCGGAUGUGCCGAGAGGCAAAAGAGAAAUUGCCUGGAGAUGAGCUCGCGUCUGAUUAGCUAGUUGGUGAGGUAAAGGCUCACCAAGGCAGCGAUCAGUAGCUGGUCUGAGAGGAUGACCAGCCACACUGGGACUGAGACACGGCCCAGACACCUACGGGAGGCAGCAGUGGGGAAUGUUCCGCAAUGGGCGAAAGACUGACGGAGCAAUACCGCGUGAGGGAAGAAGGCUCUUGGGUUGUAAACCUCUUUUCUUAGGGAAGAACAAAAUGACGGUACCUAAGGAAUCAGCAUCGGCUAACUCCGUG